rnacentral:misc_RNA from 1 species
AAAGUGCGAUAACUAGUGUGAAUUGCAGAAUUCUGUGAAUCAUCGAACUCUUGAACGCAUCCUGCACCUUGAGGCUAUCCUCGAGGUACACUUGUUUGAGUGGCGACAAAUAAUUCUCUAAAUAAACUUACUUGCUUGCGCAGGUAAAGGUAAUUUGGGAUAAUGACAGUGUAGGUAGCUCUUACAAGCUUCCAACUCUGUUGAAAAGAAUAGGCUGAACUUGCUCACUUCAGUGUAAGUUCCAUAAAGGUUUGAGGAAUUUUAUAUUCCACUUAUCCCCUUUUGGUCUUAUGCAUUUCAAUGAAGUAUAUACAAGUCUUUCAGUUCAAAGGAACAAAACAAACUAAAAGGCUCACCCCUUUUAGACAACUCACCUAUUCGCCCUCAAAUCAAGUGGGAUUACCCCCUGAAUUUAAGC